GCGUUCCGUAGCUCAGUUGGUUAUCGAGCACCACCUUGACAUGGUGGGGGUCGGUGGUUCGAGUCCACUCGGACGCACCA
rnacentral:tRNA from 1 species